rfam:chromosome VI of strain GB-M1 of Encephalitozoon cuniculi (Microspora)
GCAUCAUUGGUUUAGUGGUAUAAUGGCCGGUUGCCAUCUGGCCGACCCGAGUUCGAUUCUCGGAUGAUGCA